rnacentral:lncRNA from 10 species
AGGGCGGCGAGCUACUCGACAAGUCGUCAGCGCGGCUGCGCCGCAGGAGCCCGGGAGGCCUUUCGCCCGAGGCGGGCUGCGGGCUGCUGGGGUCUGGUGCGGAGGGCCAACUUCUGGGAAUAACCUGGCUGUGGGCUUAAAAAUCGUAGUCAUUCAUUAUCACGGGCUUCUCUCUCUCGAAUACCUUUAACAUUUAUCGCCUUGUUAGUCUCCACAUCCACCUCCGUGAAAGAGAUGGAGUCUCGCUAUAUUUCCCAGUCUGGCCUCAAACUCCUGAUCUUAAGGGAUCCCCAGCUCAACCUCUCCCAGCAGCUGGGACUACCGGGCUGUCAAAUUUACAUUAACUAUGAGAAUUAAGCAGAAUCCGAAAGUCAUCUGAGUUGGCUAUCUGCACGUUCUCUCUGUACCAGUGAACUUGAACUGUGGCUGUGGCCUGGAUUCCGCAUUCAAACAUGACCAACUGACCUCUGGUUGUAGGGAUGUCUUGAAGAUGCUGAAGAACAAACACAGAGUUCAGAGGAUGGAAGAAACUGUUAUACCAUCUACAAUGAUUUGAAAUGCCAUUUGCAACUGCAGUUGACCGUGGGUUAUUGAAACCACAGAAAGUGAAACUGGAUAACGAAGGGAAACACUAUCCCAGCCUCAACAAGGAGCUUGAUUUGGGCACAGAAACAGGAGAAAGAGACCUGCCUUGCCUCCCUUAUCCAACCGGAAGUAUUCUUCUUCUUCUGUCUUCAAUUUAUUGCAUGAUCACAUUUAUUGCAUGGGUGGCUUCAGGAAGGAUUUUAGGGAUUCCUGGAAAUAAUCAGUCUUGAAAUACUCCCCUCUUCUUCCUUCAUCUAGGAUGCUUCCUCUUCUCUCAAUAUAUUCUCACUUAUGGGUAUAAAGAAAAUGCAUCAAAGUAAAAGAAGAAAAUUUGCAACAACAGUCAUCCAUAAAUCUACCACCUGGAUAGAAUCCCUGAACCAUUAUGGCAUAUUUUCUGACAGU